rnacentral:rRNA from 1 species
GAUGAACGCUCGCGGCAGGCUUAACACAUGCAAGUCGAGGGGUAUUUAUCUUCGGAUAGCGAGACCGGCGCACGGGUGCGUAACGCGUAUGCAAUCUACCUUUUACAGAGGGAUAGCCCAGAGAAAUUUGGAUUAAUACCUCAUAGUAUAUAGACUCGGCAUCGAGAUUAUAUUAAAGUCACAACGGUAAACGAUGAGCAUGCGUCCCAUUAGCUAGUUGGUAAGGUAACGGCUUACCAAGGCUACGAUGGGUAGGGGUCCUGAGAGGGAGAUCCCCCACACUGGUACUGAGACACGGACCAGACUCCUACGGGAGGCAGCAGUGAGGAAUAUUGGACAAUGGGCGCAAGCCUGAUCCAGCCAUGCCGCGUGCAGGAUGACGGUCCUAUGGAUUGUAAACUGCUUUUAUACGAGAAGAAACACUGCUACGUGUAGCAGCUUGACGGUAUCGUAAGAAUAAGGAUCGGCUAACUCCGUG